UACAGAGGGUGCAAGCGUUGUUCGGAAUUAUUGGGCGUAAAGGGCGCGUAGGCGGUGCGGUAAGUCUGUAGUGUAAUCUCUGGGCUCAACUCAGAGUCUGCUGCAGAAACUGCCGUGCUUGAGUGCGGGAGAGGUGAGUGGAAUUCCCGGUGUAGCGGUGAAAUGCGCAGAUAUCGGGAGGAACACCCGUAGCGAAGGCGGCACUCUGGGCCGGAACUGACGCUGAGGAGCGAAAGCGUGGGGAGCAAACAGG
rnacentral:rRNA from 1 species